AGGACGAACGCUGGCGGCGUGCUUAACACAUGCAAGUCGAGCGGUAAGGCCCUUUCGGGGGUACACGAGCGGCGAACGGGUGAGUAACACGUGGGUGACCUGCCCUUAGCUCUGGGAUAAGCCUGGGAAACUGGGUCUAAUACCGGAUAUGACCUCGCGAUGCAUGUCGUGGGGUGGAAAGCCUUGUGCGGCUAGGGAUGGGCCCGCGGCCUAUCAGCUUGUUGGUGGGGUGAUGGCCUACCAAGGCGACGACGGGUAGCCGGCCUGAGAGGGCGACCGGCCACACUGGAACUGAAACACGGUCCAGACUCCUACGGGAGGCAGCAGUGGGGAAUUUUGCGCAAUGGGGGAAACCCUGACGCAGCAACGCCGCGUGGAGGAUGAAAUCCCUUGGGAUGUAAACUCCUUUCGAUAGGGAAGAUAAUGACGGUACCUAUAGAAGAAGCCCGGCUAACUUCGCGCCAGCAGCCGC
rnacentral:rRNA from 1 species